rnacentral:rRNA from 1 species
CGGUGUGCUUAACACAUGCAAGUGGAGCGACGAACCAGAGCUUGCUCUGGGGCAGAGCCGCGAACGGGUGAGUAACACGUGGGUAACGUAACCCCGAUUACCGGGGACAACCCGAGGAAACUCGGGCUAAUACCGGAUGUGCUCCCUCCCCAUGAGGGGAGUGAGUAAAGGAAGCUUCGGCCUCCGAAUCGGGAGCGGCCCGCGGCCUAUUAGUUGUUGGUGGGGUAACGGCCUACCAAGACUGCGAUAGGUAGCUGGUCUGAGAGGACGAUCAGCCACACUGGGACUGAGACACGGCCCAGACUCCUACGGGAGGCAGCAGUGGGGAAUCUUGCGCAAUGCGCGAAAGCGUGACGCAGCAACACCGCGUGGGGGAAGACGGCCUUCGGGUUGUAAACCCCUUUCAGGAGGGACGAAGGCCGGCCGGUGAAUAGCCGUGCCGGUUGACGGUACCUCCACAAGAAGCCCCGGCUAACUACGUG